rnacentral:rRNA from 1 species
AACGAACGCUGGCGGCAUGCCUAACACAUGCAAGUCGAACGAGACCUUCGGGUCUAGUGGCGCCCGGGUGCGUAACGCGUGGGGACCUGCCCUUAGGUUCGGCAUAACUCCCCGAAAGGGGUGCUAAUACCGGAUAAUGUCUUCGGACCAAAGAUUUAUCGCCUUUGGAUGGGCCCACGUUGGAUUCGCUAGUUGGUAGGGUAAAAGCAUACCACGGCGACGAUCCAUAGCUGGUCAGUGAGGAUGGUCAGCCACACUGGGAGUGAGACACGGCCCAGACUCCUACGGGAGGCGGGAGAGGGGAAUAGAGGACCGUGGGCGAAAUGCUGAUACAGCAAGGCCGGGAGAGUGAUGUAGGCCUUGGAGUCGUAAUGCGCUAUUAACCGGGAUGAUAAUGACGGUACCUAGAGAAAAAGCUCCGGCUAACUACGUG